AAUAUUGUUAAUUGGUACUUUAAAUAGUGCCUCUUUAGAGUUUGUUCAGAAUCACAAUCAGAAUCGGAAUUCCUUUAUUUGUCCUGUAAACGGGGAAAUUUCUGUGUCACAGCAGCCGAUGGACAAUACUACUACAAUAGACAGUACUAAUAGGAAAAAAUAAACAAUAUGAUAAAAAGUUAAGAAAUAGAAUAGACUUGUAUACAUAAUAUUGUGCAAUAUGUGUGAUUGUGAACAGUGUGUCAGUGUAUUGUUGUUAGUAAAUAAUAAAUAUGAGUGUUAAAAAUUGUCCAGCUAGUGCAAACCAAAAUGAAAAAUGGGUUCUUUGUGCCCUGCUGGGGACUCUUUCACCAGCAGCAAUGACAGAUUGUCCAUCAUCCUGCUCUCUCCCACCACCUGCAGUGGGUCAAGAGGGCAUCCUAGGAUGGAGCUGGCCUUCUUGAUAAGUUUAUCAAGUCUCCUCCUACCUGCUGCCGAGGUGCUGCUGCUCUAGCAGACUACUCCAUAGAAAAUGGCUGAUGCCACCACAGAGUCAUAGAAAGUUGUCAGGAGUGCCAAAGGACCUGAGCUUCCUCAACAGAUGGAGUCUGCUCUGACCUUCCUUAUAUGUUCCUGCAGUGUGAUCAGUCCGGUCCAGCUUAUUGUUCUUGUGAACUCCCAGGUCCAGUCAUGUUGAUCUUCAUGGUGUAGGGAAUCUGAAGCAUCUAAAACAUUUGAAAUGGUUAUGAAGAAAUCAAAGGAAAAUAUGCCAGAACACCAGUAUGAUUAUUAAAAAGACACAUCUUACGCUUUA